ensembl:lncRNA
CUUCAAGAGGAGCUGCACAAGCAGCAGGCCAACAACCACCAGUUGGAAGCAGAACACAAACUGCUAAAGAUCAAGACAGAGGCUCUGGCUGAGACUAUCAGGGAGAACGAGGGUUUAUCGCUGAAGCUCACCGAGAUCCACAAAACAACUUUCUGUUAAAAGUGCUGAACUCACAGUCAACAACCAGACCUGGCAGCAGUUGGAAGCAGAACAUAAACUGCUGAAGACCCAGAGGGAUUGUCUGGCUGCUUUUAAAAAUAGCCAAGAGGAUACCCACCACGAGAUGGUCACAAGCAGUGGUUUCACUGAGUUCUGCCUGAUCCCUAAGCUCCGACAGGAAAAUCAGAUCCUUAUCAACAGGAUCCAGGAGGACGACAAAACAGUCCUUGAGAACAUCUGCCUCGACUUAAAAAAAAAGAAAAGAGGCAUUUUUGGGAGACGGAUGCAAGACCGGCAGACGGAGAUGGACAAAAUGAGGCGCAAGAUGCAGGACAAGGAGACAAAGAAAUAGGAGACAGAAGAGAAGAAAAAGGAGACCAUCCAGGACGUCACCAUCAACGUGCCUGAGACUGGACACCUAUGGAGCCAGGAGAGAGCCAUGUGACGCUUUCGAGCAGAAAGGAAUUCACGAGGGAGGAGCUGGGCCUAAAUGUGCAGCCAAUCACAUAUGACAACACCACAAGGGAAACCCCGGGAGAUUGGAAGAGCUGAGCUGGAGAAGAGGCAGGCAGGAGCCUCCCGUGAACCGAUAUUGAUGGUCAUUUGAGACUGGACUUUCACAACAUAUUAUACUUUACAUACUUCAUUUCACUUUGCAGCUGUAUUGACUAUUACUUCUGUUAGUUAUUAAAUUCUUUAUAAUUUUUAAACUGAAGUCAGUUGACUCUUAAUGACUUCUUGUCUCAGUAAGGGCGAGGUUAACAGUAGCAUUCCUUGAUCAGAGGUUCAGAACUCCACACAGGCCACGGUCAUAGAACGUCCCGCACAAGACUGCCGCAACGACCACACAUUUUAAAAAAUGACUAAUAAUAUCAAAUAGCUGUGUGUUGAAGGGAGCACAUGUCAAGUCUGGAAAUAGUGAAUAUAUCUAAAAAUAG